GGGGAUAGCCUUGCGAAAGCGGGGGUAAACCCGCAUGGUCCUUUUCCUUCACCUGAGGGGCUAGGUAAACAUUUAUGGGUAGUGGAGGGGCUUGCGUCUGAUUAGCUAGUUGGCGGGGUAAGGGCCCACCAAGGCGACGAUCAGUAGGGGUUCUGAGAGGAUUGGCCCCCACAUGGGUACUGAGACACGGACCCAACUCCUACGGGAGGCAGCAGUAGGGAAUAUUGGGCAAUGGAGGCAACUCUGACCCAGCCAUGCCGCGUGAAGGAUGAAGGCGCUCAGCGUUGUAAACUUCUUUUAACUGGGAAGAACGAGCAGGGUGCGCCCUGUUGUGACGGUACCAGUGGAAUAAGCACCGGCUAACUCCGUG
rnacentral:rRNA from 1 species